UACAGAGGGUGCGAGCGUUAAUCGGAGUAACUGGGCGUAAAGGGCACGUAGGCGGUAAUGUUAGUCUGAUGUGAAAGACCUGGGCUUAACCUGGGAUGUGCAUUGGAGACGGCAUAGCUAGAGUUUGGGAGAGGGAAGUGGAAUUUCCGGUGUAGCGGUGAAAUGCGUAGAGAUCGGAAAGAACACUCGUGGCGAAGGCGGCUUUCUGGCCCAAAACUGACGCUGAGGUGCGAAAGCGUGGGUAGCAAACAGGAUUAGAUACCCUGGUAGUCCACGCUGUAAACGAUGAGAACUGGAGGUAUGUUGGCGCAAGCUGAUGUGUCUCUAAGCUAACGCACUAAGUUCUCCGCCUGGGGAGUACGGCCGCAAGGUUAAA
rnacentral:rRNA from 1 species